rnacentral:rRNA from 1 species
GACGAACGCUGGCGGCGUGCCUAAUACAUGCAAGUCGGACGCAGUUGCGAACGGGUGAGUAACGCGUAGGUAACUGGCUAUUAGAGGGGGAUAACUAUUGGAAACGAUAGCUAAUACCGCAUACUAGUAGAUGGAUCUGCGUCGUAUUAGCUAGUAGGUAGGGGAAUGGCCUACCUAGGCAACGGUACAUAGCCGAGCUGAGAGGGUGGACGGGCACACCUGGACUGGGAAACGGGCCAGAAUUCCUACGGAGGGAGGAGGAGGGGAACUUCGGAAAAUGGGGGAACCCUGGCCGAGCAACGCCGGGGGAGGGAAGAAAGGUUUCGGGGUGGAAAGCUCUGUUUGGAAGGAAGCGGUACUUAACCAGAAAGGAACGGCUAACUACGUGCCAGCAGCCGCGGUAAUAC